rnacentral:piRNA from 1 species
UUCAAAAUGUAGUUAAUACAGAUGUUGUUA